rnacentral:rRNA from 1 species
AGGUCAAGCUACUAAGAGCGUAGAGUGGAUGCCUUGGCACCGAGAGCCGAUGAAGGACGUGAUAAGC